GAAGAGUCAGAUUCUACGAUUAUUUGUGCAUCAAACAUAUAUGAUUUACAACAUUAUAGCUCACACUUUCAUUCUAUUUUAUUUUAUUCAAACUGAACAUACAAAACCAUCUAAGUAUUCUUUGUUCAUGCCCAAACAUAAAACACAACAACCAUUGCAUUUAUAAUUGGAUGCCACAAAUUUCCCCUUCCACUUCCUGUUAAUAAUGGUGAAACUGCAGUCACCUUUAAAAAGACAUUGAAUUUCAUGCAGCUCCUGCAAAAUGGAAAUGUGUAUCAUCAGUGAUAAAUAAUGAACUUUCAUAAACAUUUCCCAGAACAUGCAUUAAAUUUAAAAUUAAGGUUGAAUUAAUUACUUCGACACAAAGAUGGCCCCAUUG
rnacentral:misc_RNA from 1 species